UGUGUGUGUGCGGGCCGCACAGAAAGUAGCCUAUGGCGCUGCAAAGGUGAAUAUAUUUGUAGCACUAGCUAAAAAAUGUGUAGCAUUUUUAUAAAACUGAUGGAAAAGUCUGAAAAAUA